rnacentral:rRNA from 1 species
GAUGAACGCUAGCGGCAGGCUUAAUACAUGCAAGUCGAGGGGCAGCAGCUCUGUAGCAAUACAGAGGCUGGCGACCGGCAAACGGGUGCGGAACACGUACAGAACCUUCCUUUAAGCGGGGAAUAGCCCGGGGAAACCCGGAUUAAUACCCCAUAGUAUAAUGAAAAGGCAUCUUUUUAUUAUUAAAGAUUUAUCACUUGAAGAUGGCUGUGCGGCUGAUUAGAUAGUUGGCGGGGUAACGGCCCACCAAGUCUGCGAUCAGUAACUGGUGUGAGAGCACGACCAGUCACACGGGCACUGAGCCACGGGCCCGACUCCUACGGGAGGCAGCAGUAAGGAAUAUUGGUCAAUGGACGCAAGUCUGAACCAGCCAUGCCGCGUGAAGGAUGAAGGUCCUCUGGAUUGUAAACUUCUUUUAUUUGGGACGAAAAAGGAUCUUUCUAGAUCAACUGACGGUACCAUGUGAAUAAUCACCGGCUAACUCCGUGCCAGCCGCCGCAGUAAAAC